UCUCCGUUGGUGAACCAGCGGAGGGAUCAUUACCGAGUUUACAACUCCCAAACCCCUGUGAACAUACCAUUUGUUGCCUCGGCGGUGCCUGCUUCGGCAGCCCGCCAGAGGACCCAAACCCUUGAUUUUAUACAGUAUCUUCUGAGUAAAUGAUUAAAUAAAUCAAAACUUUCGACAACGGAUCUCUUGGUUCUG
rnacentral:misc_RNA from 1 species